UACGUAGGGCGCAAGCGUUGUCCGGAAUUAUUGGGCGUAAAGAGCUCGUAGGCGGUUUGUUGCGUCUGUCGUGAAAGCCCACAGCUUAACUGUGGGUCUGCGGUGGAUACGGGCAGACUAGAGGCAGGUAGGGGAGAAUGGAAUUCCCGGUGUAGCGGUGAAAUGCGUAGAUAUCGUUUGGAACGCCAAUGGUGAAAACAGGUAACUGGGAGUGUGCCGACGCUGAGACACGAAAGCCAGGGGAGCGAACGGG
rnacentral:rRNA from 1 species